rnacentral:rRNA from 1 species
CUAAUACCGGAUAGGAGCGUCCACCGCAUGGUGGGUGUUGGAAAGAUUUAUCGGUUUUGGAUGGACUCGCGGCCUAUCAGCUUGUUGGUGAGGAAAUGGCUCACCAAGGCGACGACGGGUAGCCGGCCGAGAGGGUGACCGGCCACACUGGGACUGAGACACGGCCCAGACUCCUACGGGAGGCAGCAGUGGGGAAUAUUGCACUAUGGGCGCAAGCCUGAUGCAGCGACGCCGCGUGAGGGAUGACGGCCUUCGGGUUGUAAACCUCUUUCAGUAUGGAAGAAGCGAAAGUGACGGUACCUGCAGAAGAAGCACCGGCUAACUACGGGCCAGCAGCCGCGGUAAUACGUAGGGUGCGAGCGUUAUCCGGAAUUAUUGGGCGUAAAGAGCUCGUAGGCGGUUUGUCGCGUCUGUCGUGAAAGUCCGGGGCUUAACCCCGGAUCUGCGGUGGGUACGGGCAGACUAGAGUGCAGUAG